UCUUGAUUGGUCUAGUGGUUAGGAUACCUGCUUGUCAUGAGUGGUCAUCGAUUAGGUGCCCUCGAACAAUGCGCAGGUGGCCGGGGUUCGAUUCCCCGAUCGAGAG